rnacentral:rRNA from 1 species
UAGGGAAUAUUGCGCAAUGGGGGAAACCCUGACGCAGCGACGCCGCGUGAGUGAUGAAGGACUUCGGUUCGUAAAGCUCUGUUGCAAGGGAAAAAGUUCUGAUUGUACCUUGUGAGGAAGGGUCGGCUAACUUCGUGCCAGCAGCCGCGGUAAGACGAGGGACCCUAGCGUUGUUCGGAAUCAUUGGGCGUAAAGCGGGUGCAGGUGGCUUUGUAAGUCAGGUGUGAAAGCCCAGGGCUCAACCCUGGAAGUGCAUUUGAUACUGCGAAGCUUGAGUGCUGGAGAGGUUACUAGAAUUCCAGGUGUAGUGGUGAAAUACGUAGAUAUCUGGAGGAAUACCGGAGGCGAAGGCGGGUAACUGGCCAGACACUGACACUCAGACCCGAAAGCGUGGGGAUCAAACAGGAUUAGAUACCCAUGUAGUCCC